rnacentral:rRNA from 1 species
UACAGAGGUCCCAAGCGUUGUUCGGAUUCACUGGGCGUAAAGGGUGCGUAGGCGGUCGGGUAAGUCUGAUGUGAAAUCUCCAAGCUUAACUUGGAAAUGGCAUCGGAUACUAUUCGGCUCGAGGAAUGGAGGGGAGACUGGAAUACUUGGUGUAGCAGUGAAAUGCGUAGAUAUCAAGUGGAACACCAGUGGCGAAGGCGAGUCUCUGGGACGGUACUGACGCUGAGGCGCGAAAGCGUGGGGAGCAAACGGG